GUCCUAUCCUGACUCCAGCCAUUUCUCGAAGACACUCACUUUUUUCCGGAUACACUCUUCGGCUACCGUCCCGGUAUUUCUACACAGGGCGUUUUACUACAGCUUAAGGAGGACGUGUUGGAUAGCCCCACUUCAAACCAGGUCCGGGCAAUUCUGGCCCUGCAUCUCGAGGGCACUUUUGACAACGUCUCCCACGACCUAAUUCUUGGCAAUCUCGCUUCCUCCCAGUGCUGCGCACGUCACUCAUAGUUAGUCGGCUCACCUAUCACCUUCCCUAUCAUAAUCUCACACUUGCUCAAA